ensembl:lncRNA
UUUGACUCCUUUUUGGUGCUGGAAUCCGUUUUGGGUCCAAAAAUGCCAUUUUUGGGCAAAUUACCCAAUUUUGGUAACCAUGGAUCCAUUUUAGGCCCCAAAAUACCAUUUUUUGGGAACCAGAAUCCAUUUUGGGGUCCAAAAUACCAUUUUUUGGGGUCAUUUUAUCCCUUUUUGGUGCUGGAAUCCAUUUUAGGCCCCCAAAAUGCCAUUUUUGAGGUAAAUUCCUCCAUUUUUGGGUCAAAAAAUGCCAUUUUGGGGGGUCAUUUUGCCCCUUUUUGGUGCUGGAAUCCAUUUUAGGCCCCAAAAUGCCAUUUUUGAGGUAAAUUCCUCCAUUUUGGG